GUACUUAAUAUUUUAUAUAAUCCACAGUCAUCACGUGCAUCAUUACGAAAUAUCAUAAAAAAUACGACAUUUUUUAAGCAACAGAUAUUUCAGCAUAUCAUUUACCAUUAUAUUUUCUUUAAUUUGCUAUUGCUUUCUCAGAAUUUUGAUUUUAUAUUUUAUGUGAUGAUACGUAAAUAGUCUCGUUCGUAUGAUGUAUUUCUUGAUUACAACCUAGAAAUACGACUCUGAAUAUAUUAACGUGUAUUCGAUUGAUUUUCCUGGUUUAAUUUAAUGAAUCAUUUGGAAUUCGAUUUAUUUUUUUUCUAGAGUUAGUUUAAAACGUUAAAAUUAAUCAGAAACGUGCUUUGGAUGUCCUCUUGCUGAUCAACUUUAGUUUCGGCUUGUUUGCAAGUUUUCUGGGGAAAGAUGCAAGAAGUAGAGUUGCAAUACAUUGUAAUAAAUUCCAUUGAUAAUCUUGAUGCGAACAAUGAAAAUGGUUGAAUAUGUACCACACCUAUGAUAAUAUAUAAAUAUGGGAUAAAAAAGAUAUAUAUAACAUGAAAUAGGAAAAGAAUUUAAGCUUUGAAAAGGAAAAAAAGAUACUAGAAAGGAAAGAUGUAUUCACGAAAAUAAUAAUUAAACCAUGGAACUUUUUUUUUAAAGAUAGAAAGAUUCUAUAAUUUACUUGAGCACGACGUGUAUCAUUUUUCAAAUAAGGUGUUUUUCACAUAUUAAUUACAAAGUUUAAUACUGGAAGACGAAUAAUAAAAAGAUAAACUUGGAAGACAGGAAUUGAAUACCAAUACGAAUUCGUUUUAACUAAUUAAGUCACAUGUAUAUAUACCUUUUAUGAAUAUAUACGAUUUUCUAACUAAA